ensembl:lncRNA
GAACAGGUGCUCAAGAUCUGUCUUUUAAAAAGUUAAAGCUAUAGCUUAUAUAACCCUCAAGGUGCACACGCACGCACGCGCACACACACACACACACACACACACACGCUUGUGAUUAUUAAUGACUACAUUUACUCCACAAGGAAAACAUUAAUAGAGCGCUACUUUAAAAAGGUAAUAUACAUAUGAAGUUCAUAUGCACAUACAUUAUUGAAAUGCUAACUGAAUAGAUGCAUGGUUCAACUGUGACCAGAAACUGAAAAGUGUAAUACAGCUAUGAAACACCCAGUCGAUUUCUAUUUUAAAGCUGGCUUUUCACCAUUGUAUAUAUACAAUGUUGCUGAUGAAGUGAAAUAUGAAUGCAUCCAUGCUAGAAAAUAACUGAGUUAUGACAGGCAGAUCUUUUGCUUAUAUAUACAAAUAUUUCUAACAUCUUUGAAACUUUUUUAUUCAAAUGGUAUGAUUUGAGAACGUAUUUGCAUGCUGAACCAUAUGUUUUCUCAUCAUCAAUCAUCAAACCUUAACUGAGUAUAGUAAGAGGCAGAGCCAAGAGCCUCUCUGUGAGUUCAAGGCCAGUCUGGUCUAUAUAGGGAGUUCCAGGAUAGCUAGGAUUACAUAGGGAGCCCCUGUUUCAAAACAGUGAGACUCUGUCUCAGAGGGAGAGAGAGAGAGAGAGAGAGAGAGAGAGAGAGAGAGAGAGAAAAGAAAAAUGAAAAGAAAAGAACUUAUUUCCAGAACUCACACAUAAGAAUACACUCAACUUCAAAUCCAGCUGGUAACUGUUCCCCCAUUGCUCUCUCCUCCAGUAACUGUCUAUAUGCCUCUUCUCUGUUCACAUACCACAUGCCCAACUUAAUUAGGAAAAGAAGAAAAGGAUGACUUUAAACUAGUAACUGGUCACUAUCCCUGACUCUUCUGGAUGGUGAAGGAAUUUUCUGGUUCUAAGCCCCAGAAUGACCAACUUCCAUGGCACUGAAUUAAGUCUAUUUAGCCGAACUGCUUUUCACUAAAAUAAAAAAACAAACAAAUCUCACAAGACUAGGAAGUAAAAAUGGAAAUUACUUUAUUCAAUUAUUAAUGACAGAAAAUAUGUACACAUUUUAUAAAUCAUCUCUAUAAUAUGACAGUAACGAUUACAUAAAAUAGUUCUUUGUAACUCUACAAAUAUACACAGUUUUUAUCCGC